UACGUAGGGUGCGAGCGUUAAUCAGAAUUACUGGGCGUAAAGCGUGCGCAGGCGGCUUUGCAAGACAGAUGUGAAAUCCCCGGGCUCAACCUGGGAACUGCAUUUGUGACUGCAAGGCUAGAGUACGGCAGAGGGGGAUGGAAUUCCGCGUGUAGCAGUGAAAUGCGUAGAUAUGCGGAGGAACACCAAUGGCGAAGGCAAUCCCCUGGGCCUGUACUGACGCUCAUGCACGAAAGCGUGGGGAGCAAACAGG
rnacentral:rRNA from 1 species